AGAAAAUGAAUCAAUAAAUCAGCUUUGUUGACAAAGUUUCUAAGUAAGAGGUUAGGUGGAGGUUUAUCAGUGGUGCUUUCUUAUCAUGAGGGCCAAUCCUGACCUUUUCAAUCACAACCAAUUCAUGCCAUGAUCUCCAGGAAAUACAUAUAUUCACUGGAGUUCAAUGGAGUUUCCUUCCUAUACAAACUAGUGGAAUCUAGGUACUUAAAGGUUUUUAUUCCACAUAAGAAAAUUUAUUGUUCAAAAUAGAAGCAAAUCAGAUGAGACCAACAGGUCAAUAUGGAUGAUGGUGGCAGCAUGUCUUGCAGCAGGACCAAAAUCGGUGGAAGCCUCAGUUUUCCUGGCCAUUCCUUGACGGAACUGAGUUUUACCAUCAGUGGCAUCUCUGAGGAAAGACUUACUGCAGUUCUGUACAGAUAAAAACCAAUGCAAUCCUAAGUUUCCUUUUUCCCCCUUUUACAUUUGUGUUACGUGACAUAAAGUUUUGCUGACCUUGACAUGCACCCCUUUCUCUGCAGUCUCAUGGAGGUCAAGGUAGGCCCCUCCCCCACCAGGCACCUGUAGCAAGUCCUUCACCAGCUCG